GUCCGCGUGGCGCAAUGGUAGCGCGUUGGACUUCUAAACCAUUCUGCGCCGUGGAAAAGCUCGUUGUCAGUCCAUGACUCGGGAAGAUUCGGCAGCGGUUAGGAGCCAAUCCAAAGGUUGUGGGUUCGAGCCCCACCGUGGAUG
rfam:Microdochium bolleyi strain J235TASD1 unplaced genomic scaffold Micbo1qcscaffold_31, whole genome shotgun sequence.